rnacentral:tRNA from 1 species
AAAUAAGAAGUAAAAUUUACAUUUAGUUUCGACCUAAAAAUUUGGUAUUAUAUACCCUUAUUUA